CGCGUAGGCGGUUCGCUAAGUUGGAUGUGAAAACUCUGGGCUCAACCCAGAGCCUGCAUCCAAAACUGGCGGGCUAGAGUUCUGGAGGGGGUAGCGGAAUUCCUGGUGUAGCGGUGAAAUGCGUAGAUAUCAGGAGGAACACCGGUGGCGAAGGCGGCUACCUGGACAGAAACUGACGCUGAGGCGCGAAAGCUAGGGGAGCAAACA
rnacentral:rRNA from 1 species